AUACUUAUCUGGCAGGGGAGGUGCCAUGAUCACUAAGGUGGUUUCUUCAGGGCAAGGCUCAUUCAUUGCACCAAGGAUAUAAUGACCCCUGAGAUUUCCCUAAAUGUGGGAAAAAGGACUGCAUAAUCUGUGGUAGGGAGAUACUGCAUUUUUCUG